AAGAGACAAACGUAAACCGAGCGUGGAGAUGUUUUCUGAAAUAAAGGAAUUUUAAAAAGUAAAUAGAUCAAACUUCACGUCAAGUCAGCGAUAACCCCUGACCAGACGGCGGCCUCUUGUCAUCUUUCGGAUAUUUACGGUUCCUGAAUGAGGACGAAUGGUCAUCGGACUGUGGAUGUAAUGUGUGUUAUUUUGAAGAUGCUCAAACCACAGUCCUCCCAAUUUGACACUUGUUUCUUUCAUUUCACCUCUUUUUUAACACAUUUUCCAUGCUCACCAAGCUCCUGACAUCACUGCUUCUUCCUUCUUUUCAUCAAUUAAAAUGGUAUUUGAUCACAGUGUCCUCUUCAUUAGGGAGGCUAACCUCUGUUCAUUUUUUAAUAAACACAAAAACAGUAUAGUAUUAUCAACAAUAAACAUACAUGUUUGACUUAAGUAAAUCUACAGUGUGAAAUAUAUUUCAUCACCACCCAGUCUACACCUGCUGUGUGUUGCCGUACACAGACCGCCACACGUUUGCCUCCUCGGCCUCUCAAACGCUGCCACAGAUUCAGAAUUGCCGUCUUGUUUGUCUUUCAGCGCCGGAGUUGAACUCAGAGCCUUUGACGGACGGACAGAGGACACUAAAACACUGCCAAGUGUUUUAACACAGGCGAUAGCGACUUCACCGCCGCUUUCGCAAUCGCAGUCUUUGCUUUGGAGCGCUCCCAGGUGUCAGUCACCUGAAACAGUCGCUGCGGUGAAAUGUGUGUAGAGGUGAGAGUCGUACGUUUGUGGGUCCGCGGACGUGAACAAAGGGGGAUUUAGAUGAGCAGAGAGACCGACAGGAGGCCCGUCGAAAGAAAUGGACGCUUAAAGAAACUUUAUUCACAUUUGAAUAGCUAUUUACAUUACGUGCAAUACUUUAAAAAAGAGUGUAUGUGAACCACGCAUGGAUCAAACAUAUAUGAAUUAUUGUUUAUUAGUCAGCUUUAGACUUGCUAGCAGGUUGAUUUUGAUACCUUAACAUCAGUGAACAACAGAAUAAAUCAUAUUUGAAGUGACGUUGAGACGUGUAUGGCUCUUGUAGCAACCUGUCAGUCACAGGUUAGCCCCGCCCCAAAACACACCCAGAUUUUUUUUGGACUAUUUUGAGAGCAUAAUUAACCAAAUGAACAUUAAGCUGUAUUGAAGAAGACUUUAAACUAGAUUUGUUAAGUUUGGUCAUCUUAUUUUUGCAGAGGAGUCCCCACCUGCUGGCAGGUAGAGAGACUGUUUAAGUGACCUCCUCGUUGUCUUCACCUUUCAAUGCUGCAUAAAACAGUGUUUUCAUGAAAGCUGAUACAGAAGGAUCGUUCCUCUGGCCUUUGGAGUGAAAGCAUCGUCAUUUUAAAAUCAUUUCAAAGGGUUUAUGAUCAUUUUAAGUUAUUACAGCACAAUUAUUUUGUUUGAUUGAAGCCGGCGGAGAGACUUGUUGACUGGUUGAAACCAAAAGCACAACAAAAACACACUUGGGAUUGGUGUGUGUGUGUGUGUGUGUCUGUAUGUGUAUUGUGUAUUCACAGCCCUAAAACAAAGCAGCAAGGAGGAUCUGCAGCUUCCGGGUGUUGGACUUGGACUUUAAACCUUUAGCACCUCCCAGUGGUAGAAUGAAGAAACACACACUGUGAGUGCAACAGUAUCCUGAUUAUAUACGUGUUUGUGUAGACUGGAAUUUGAAUGUUCCUGUGAAAUCAUAUGAGGAUUCUAUAACUGUGCCUUUAUGAAUCGCAGCCUCGACCUCAAUAAUAACAAACGUCCAUCUUAAAAACUGCCCAGCGAGGCCCAGUUUCUUAGGCUUCAGGUCACUUGCCCCUCAUGUGUCGCCAGUCGAAUCGUCUGCCCUGGUCCCUGAUUGUGUCCAACUGUUUCCCAUUGCCCUCAUGUGUCUUAUAGUCUGCGGCUCCCUUUCCCCGGUGCUGGAGGGUACCGACCAUUCACCUACCGGGGCCCGUCGCCUUAGACUCGGUGGCCCUCGGCCUGGCCUGGACGAUUCUAGUUUCAGUUUAUGGAUUCAGUUCCUCAAGCCUCUUUGUAGUUUUUGUGUUUUUCCUCCUAAUGGAGCGAUUUUGUGUUUUUGAUCUAUUGAACUAAAUAAAGACGGCCUAUCCUGUUCA